AUUGAACGCUGGCGGCAUGCCUUACACAUGCAAGUCGAACGGUAACAGGCCGCAAGGUGCUGACGAGUGGCGAACGGGUGAGUAAUGCAUCGGAACGUGCCCAGUUGUGGGGGAUAACUGCUCGAAAGAGCAGCUAAUACCGCAUACGACCUGAGGGUGAAAGCGGGGGAUCGCAAGACCUCGCGCAAUUGGAGCGGCCGAUGUCAGAUUAGGUAGUUGGUGGGGUAAAGGCCUACCAAGCCGACGAUCUGUAGUUGGUCUGAGAGGACGACCAGCCACACUGGGACUGGGACACGGCCCAGACUCCUACGGGAGGCAGCAGUGGGGAAGUUUGGACAAUGGGCGCAAGCCUGAUCCAGCAAUGCCGCGUGCAGGAAGAAGGCCUUCGGGUUGUAAACUGCUUUUGUCAGGGAAGAAAUCCUCUGGGUUAAUACCCCGGGGGGAUGACGGUACCUGAAGAAUAAGCACCGGCUAACUACGUGCCAGCCGCCGCCGUAAUAC
rnacentral:rRNA from 1 species